CGGCUGCAAGAAGCUUCAGAUUGAUGCAGAGAGAAACAAACAAACGCGGAGGAGAAGGCUCCAAAACAUGAAGCGAAGUGGAAGAGAAGAAAUCGCAGCCGUGAAGAAGGCGAAGCACGUAUACCAAGUCAUCUGCGCGCUUGUUCUUCUCUUCCCUCUCGACGCCUCUCUUCUCUCAGUGAAAGAAUGAUUUUUUGGAAGUUGAAUGAUGUGAAAUUUGGAACUUCAAGUGCUAUUGACGAGCAAUACAGAGAGCAGCUACUUAGUUCCGAGGCUCCUUCGGCAGAUGAGAGGAGAGAGUGGUGGCACGCAUUCUAUGGAGGAGCCGCAUUUUCGUCAUCUGCUCGGUUUCCGUUAAUUGGUAUUUUUUUUUAGCUCUAGUUACCUUGCCAUCUAUGAUGCAUGGACACGGAUAUGGGGAUACGACACGGGGAUACAUCAAAUUUCAAAAAACGAGGAUACGAUACGUCAAGGAUACGGCAAUUAAAAAUAUGUAUAAAUAAAUAAAUAAAUAAAUAAAAAUAUAUC